rnacentral:rRNA from 1 species
CCUACGGGAGGCAGCAGUGGGGAAUAUUGCACAAUGGGGGGAACCCUGAUGCAGCGACGCCGCGUGAGUGAAGAAGUAUUUCGGUAUGUAAAGCUCUAUCAGCAGGGAAGAAAAUGACGGUACCUGACUAAGAAGCCCCGGCUAACUACGUGCCAGCAGCCGCGGUAAUACGUAGGGGGCAAGCGUUAUCCGGAUUUACUGGUUGUAAAGGGAGGGUAGACGGGAGAGCAAGUCGGAAGUGAAAGCACGGGGCCCAACUGUGAGACUGAUUUUGAAACUGCCGUGAGAGAGUGCUGGAGAGGUAAGCGGAAUUCCUGGUGUAGCGGUGAAAGGCGUAGAUAUUAGGAGGAACACCAGUGGCGAAGGCGGCUUACUGGACAGUAACUGACGUUGAGGCUCGAAAGCGUGGGGAGCAAACAGGAGUAGAGACCCGUGUAGUC